rnacentral:rRNA from 1 species
UACGUAGGGUGCAAGCGUUAUCCGGAAUCACUGGGCGUAAAGGGUGCGUAGGCGGGUUUUUAAGUCAGGGGUGAAAUCCUGGAGCUCAACUCCAGAACUGCCUUUGAUACUGAAAAUCUUGAGUCCGGGAGAGGUGAGUGGAACUGCGAGUGUAGAGGUGAAAUUCGUAGAUAUUCGCAAGAACACCAGUGGCGAAGGCGGCUCACUGGCCCGGUACUGACGCUGAGGCACGAAAGCGUGGGGAGCAAACAGG